GCCCUUCAGGGGAAACUCCUCAAACCGGGCGUGGCGCCAGGGCUUAUGGGAAACGUAGUCCCAGGCUCGGUCGCCCGCCCGGCGCGGGGUCCGCCCAGGGUCUUGAGGGGCUCCGAGGCUCGCGGCGCACAUGCGUACUUCGUUCUCCGCGCGUCUGCCUCGGGUUCGCGCUCCCCGCCGAGGAAAUGCCGGGGCGCUCGGGAGGCUGGCGCCGCGCGAGUGGGAGCGGCGGGUGAACCCGGCCGGGUUCCAAGGAAGCAACCUCGAAGUGUGGAGCAGAAUCGCACCCUGUGGUCAUGUAUUUUGGUAUUUCUUGGCAUCUCAGAACUCAAGGCCAGGUUCCAGCCCCCUUGGAAGAAAGCAGCUUUUGUGAAGUAAGAAUGAAGGAAGCCCCAGGAAUAGGAAUCCCACCGUGAAGAUUGCUCCUCUGACCUCAGAUUUCUCACCACAGCUUUAGAGCAGAGGCAGGAAACUGGUAGUAAGGAGCAAGGCCUUGGUUUUCAUAAUCUGAAGUAGCAGCUCUUUAUUCUGCUCAGAAUGAGCAUGGCCUCACUUUCCCCAUACUCAGAGGGUCUCACGAUGAUGGUGAAAAGUCUGGACCAAGCUUCAGAAAAAAUAGCUGUACAUUCAACCUUCUCUGUACUUUACCAAAAGGAACAGAAAAAGAACAAAUCCCAGGGAUCAAUUUCAUUUGAGGAUGUGAUUGUAAACUUUACCAAGGAGGAGUGGAGUCAUUUGGACCCUGAUCUGAGGACCUUGUACAGGGAUGUGAUGUUGGAGAACUAUAGUAUCUUCAUCUCACUGGGUAAACAAAGCUUUUCUGAGUAACAUCAGGCUUGUCCUUUUGCUGUUACCAAAGCAUGUGGACCUUUUGUAGAGUUUAAUGAUACUUAGGUGUGGACACCAGGAAUAUUGUUUGUUUUUUCACAUACCCAUUGAAAGAUUCCAGUGGGGGCAGCCCCGGUGGCGCAGCGGUUUAGCGCCGCCUGCAGCCCAGGGCAUGAUCCUGGAGACCCCGGAUCGAGUCCCACCUUGGGCUUCCUGCAUGGAGCCCACUUCUCCCUCUGCCUGUGUGUCUGCCUGUCUACCCCCGCCCCCCAUCUCUGAACGAAUAAAUAAAUAAAUCUUAAAAAAAAAAAAAGAAAAGAAAAGAAAAGAAAGAUUCCAGUGGGUCCCUUCACUUCAUUUGCAGCUCCUGAAGCUGGACCUUGGUUUUUCUUCUGAGUUCCUAAAGCCAGGCAGCUUUUCAAAUGUCCUUUAUAAUUAAUUUUUCAUUAGCAGGACAUUGCAUUACCAAACCAGAGGAGAUCUUCAAGUUAGAGCAAGAAGCACCAUGGGUGUUAGAGAAAGAAUUUGCAAGCCAGUGUUACCCAGUCACAGAGAGAGAGAGAGAGAGAAGCAGAGACAUAGGCAGAGGAAGAAACAGGCUCCAUGCACUGG